rnacentral:tRNA from 1 species
UUGGAGUGCCAGAUAGUAUGGGUAUGAUUUAGGAUCAUACUAAGGUUGUUUUAACCCUCUGGC